UUCUAAGAAAUAGCUUCUGUUUACCUGUUAUGGUUAUCCGUGUAUUCCCAAUUCCUCCUUUGGAUUUGAGUUUCUCCAGCAGCUGCCCCAAAUAAGUGUUGUUUCUGGAAAAGAAAGAAAAAUGCAGCGUUUAGGAGGAGGCCUCAUUCUGAUCUUCACCACCUCUCUGCACUUAGGGAAUGAACUACAGGUGGGAAGUAGCUUUCAUAAGUCGAUGCACCUGAGUCAGUUUGAGCUUGGCCGCAUUUCCCUUCUAGUCCUGAGUGAGGUCACAGGAAAGAAAAGGAGCCUUUUGAUGAGAGGAACUGGGGUGUUUGAGGGCAGCCAGCAGAUAGUGGGAACACACAAAACUUUUGGCAAGAAGACAGCUGUCUGUGCACCAUGCCUGUGGUAUUGAUGAUGGGCCCUGAGUGGACAGCUGGAAGUCCAGAAAACAGGACGAAACAUCUGUCGGCAACUCCCACACUGAACAUGGAACAUGAGUGAGAAAUAAACCUCUGUUAUAAAAGUCGCUUCGAUUCGGGGCUGUUACUGCAGAAUCCUCUAGCCCACCCUGGCUGAUCAAGGGAGGCUGUCGGGGCUGGGGAGGCAGGACAGCUCUGGUGCUGGCAACAACUCAGAAAAGAUCAAAGCCGAGGCUUCGACUACGUGCCAGGGAGGGACAGAUAGUGGCGAUGGGAUGGAAGGGUCUGGGUGCCUGCAGGACUGGCCCAAAUAGACCCUUUUGAGAUAGAAAAGAGGCUAGAGAUUGUCUUCAGAGAUGAGAGCCUUACCUGAUGACGGAACGGGCUCUGGCGCCACGGCUCUUUCCUCUGCUUGCUGAGCAAGUUACACCGCAUUUCAGUGCCCUUUUCCAUAAAAUGAAGAGAGCGGCACCUACGUGUAGGGCUGUUGCUGGGGCUAAAUGAGUUAUCCACAUGUGAGUUAACACGUGUGCUUAGAACACGUAUAAUGAACUAUGCACAUGUAAUGAGGUACCACGGGAGCUUAAGAAGUGCAUAUCCGACUCACUACAGGUUCUCAAUACACAUUAUCCCUCAGUAUUUUCUUCCCAAAGCUCCCAACUUGCAGGUAAUAAAACUGAGUUCCAGACAGGCUACAAGACUUCCUAGAGAUGACAUGGCC
rnacentral:lncRNA from 1 species